CAGGUUUUAUGGUGUUUUGGAAAGUUAGAGAAUCACAUAUAAGGCUUGCAUAUCAUUUUUUUUUACAUUGAAAUUUGCCAGAUUGGUUAUGUUGCCUUUGAGAGCGUAUGGUAGCCCAGAAAUGAGAAUUACCCCCAUGAUGGCAUACCAUUUGCAAAAGUAGACAACCAAAGGUAUUGCAAGUGGGGUAUGUCCAGUCUUUCUUAGUAGUCACUUAGUUUUUGUUUACGUUUUGUUUUGAUCAGAACGUUUACUAUUGACUCCAUCCUGAAGGGGUUAAACAAAAAAUAGUUUGGCCGACGAGAGGCUUUCAGAAUUUGUUAGCGAUGACCAGAACUAACAGAAGAUCUUUUGUUUUUUUUUAUUGAUACCUUAAAGGAUCACUAUAGGGUCAGAAACACCCUAUAGGGUUAACACCACCAUCUAGCCCCCCUGGGCCCCUCAUGCCGCCAGAAAUAUUGCAAAAUCUUACGGUAUUCAAGUAAUUAAAAGAUUUAUAGGUUACUGGUUUCACCUACAAAAUGAUGAUGGUUGAACAGCACGGUUUAUACGGAUUUGUUUUUCAUAUAUGGAACACAGGAAUGGGUGGAAACACUUAAGUUUUGAGAUAAUUGCAAUGAUAAAUAAAUAGAGAUGUAAAAAAUAUAGAUAAUCCUGAUGCUUGUAAAAUAGAAAAUCCAAGUGCCUUUGAGGGCACCCCUUAAUAAAUGCCUAUACUAUGUAGCACAACCCCCCAAAAAGGUGUAAAUACUGAGAGAUACUUAAAUAGUAAAAAGUGAAGCCACUUGCUAUAAACAAUGUUCAAGAUAGGAGGGUGGAGUAUUAGUAUCCUCUGAACUCCUGCAAGACAGGGUCUGAUGUAUAUAGAUGAAGUAUCUCUAAUACACAGGAGGUUAAACAGCACACCAAUGUGGUUGCAAUAGUUAAUAGAAAAGAGGCAGAGAAUACCUGUAAAUGGGGAGGUAUAGGAGGCAAUAACAAGCUAGGAUUAGAUGCAGUGAUAAAUAGAGAUGUAGAAAAUAUAGGUAAUCCUGACGCAUGUGAAUUGUUUUAUACUUAUAUGUAAGUUAUUAAAAUUCUUUUUUACUAUACUCUGGAAGGGCACUACAUCUUUUCUGUAUAUAUUUUUUCUCCUGAGUUACAUAUUCCAACCUACUGAUGGGAGUGCGAGGAUGAGAAAAUACAGUGGAUAUUGAAGGAAAGAUUUUACUCAAGGCUGUUUUACAUCUGAGAAUUUGUGAGUGACCAAUGGUAAUUAACACAUUGUCACUAACUCUCACAUAGUUAAACACUAUGUUUUUUUAUUUUAUCUGUAUUUAGCAGAUUAUCCCCAAUUCUAUUUGUAUAUACGUCAAUGGAUCACUAUUCUAUGUGGGGACUUUAACCAUAUCUUUGACCCGGCAUUAGACACCACCUUUCCCCACGAAAAGCUAGAUUUGGACCCUCAAGAGACAGUGCAGGGCUCUGCACCAUUACUAUGACACAUGGAGAGCCUCCCACGGAACGGAAAAAUAUUAUACCUACUUCUCCCAUGUACACAACUCAUAUUCCCGGCUAGAUACGUUCUUCGUGUCAGGGACACACCUUAACCUAGUAUUACCCAACUCACGUGGUCUGAUCAUGCUCCGGUCACAUCACAGGUCAAGGACUCAUAUGAUUUUAAACAUCGGAGUCCGUGGAGAUUGAAUGACUCUCUGUUACAUAACAAGGAGUUUAUAAACAAAAGAUAGAUGAAGCCCUUCGAAACUAUUUCAUAGAAAAUGAGACCCCUGAGGUAACACACACCACAUUAUGGCAGGCACACAAACCUGUGGUACGGGGACUUUUCAUACAAAGAGCUGCUACACUGCGUAAACAGUCCCAGGCACAACUAAAAGUAUGUCUGUAUAUAUGCAUGUAUGUCAGUCUGAAUGUAUGUAUGUAUGUAUGCCAUUAUGAAUGUAUGUGUGUAUGGAUAUCAGUGUCUGUAUGUCUGUCAGUAUGUCUGUAUGUAUGAAUGUAUGUAUAUAUGUAUGUGUCUUUAUGUCCUCAUGCAUGUAUGUCGGUAUGUAUGUUAGUAUGUGUCUGUCUGUCACUAUGUAUGCCUGUGUGUUAUAUGUGUGUAUGUCUCAGUAUGUGUGUGUCAGUGUGUAUGUCUGUUUCAGUAUGUGUGUCUGUUAGUAUGUAUCUGUGUCCUUUUGUAUCAGUGUGUGUGUUUGUGUCUGUGUGUGUAUUCCUGUGGGCGGUAUUUGGAGGCGGACCCUGUGGGUGGUAUUUGGAGGCGGGCCCCAGACCCUGAGCUGAGUUAGGGGCCCCAAAAUUUCUGUUGGCUACCCUGGUUGAAGGAGCCAAGCGAUUAAGGCCUCAAGACCGGGAGAAAGGAAAGGGUGAGCCGAGAAGGCAAUGUUUCGCAGCCAAAGUUAGGAGUUAUCUAGAGUGAAGCCCUGGGAACUGUCCGGGGAACACUCCGGUUGAAGUAGGCAAAACAAACUUAGUGUACGGUCAUGUCACCCAAAAAUGCGGAAACAUUAAUCGUUCUACCAAACAAUGUUGUACAUAGAUAACUGAUCGCCGCUGGCUGAAAUGUUAUCACACAGUAUACCCUACUGCUUUAGGGUUGAAUAUGGAUACCCCUACCCCUUUUCUCUUUUGUAUCCCGCUGCAACAAUCUUGACUCAAUAAAAAUUGUCAAAUUGAAAAAAAAAUAGUAGGGUGU